GAGUUUGAUCUUGGCUCAGAACGAACGCUGGCGGCAGGCUUAACACAUGCAAGUCGAACGCCCCGCAAGGGGAGUGGCAGACGGGUGAGUAACACGUGGGAACGUGCCCUAAGGUUCGGAAUAUUCCCGGGAAACUGGGAGCAAUACCGAAUGUGACCGCAAGGUGAAAGAUUUAUCGCCUUAGGAUCGGCCCGCGUCGGAUUAGCUAGUUGGUGGGGUAAUGGCCUACCAAGGCGACGAUCCGUAGCUGGUCUGAGAGGACGACCAGCCACACUGGGACUGAGACACGGCCCAGACUCCUACGGGAGGCAGCAGUGGGGAAUCUUGGACAAUGGGCGCAAGCCUGAUCCAGCCAUGCCGCGUGAGUGAUGAAGGCCUUAGGGUUGUAAAACUCUUUCGCCGAGGACGAUAAUGACGGUACCCGCAGAAGAAGCCCCGGCUAACUUCGUGCCAGCCGCCGCCGUAAU
rnacentral:rRNA from 1 species